GUAUGUUUCUUCAUAGCUUCAUAUCAACCCAUUAGGCAGGAUUAAAUCGAAGCAAGGAGUAUAUUGCUCUAAAAUCAAAUUAAGAUGAAGGCCAUCUUUUCAUUUCUGCUAGUCCUACUUGUUCUUUCCAUUGGAAUUGAAAAUGAAGGACCGCUGAAAGUAAUAGAAGCAAAAAUUUGUGACGAAGAAUUGUACAACUAUUGUGACGAAAGUUGUUUCACUGAUAUUUGUGCCAAGAAAUAUGGAAGUACAUCAAUUCCUUUAUGCAAUGAAUUGAAUCACUGCAUAUGUCGUUACCGUUGCUAGGUCUUUGACCUUCUUCAACAUAAUCCUUAUGAAUGUUAGUUUAAGAAGUACUAUGUAGUGGUAGAUUCAAAGAAAAUAAAACUACACUUUUAUUAUAUCUAC